rnacentral:rRNA from 1 species
CAGUCGAGCGGACAGAUGGGAGCUUGCUCCCUGAUGUUAGCGGCGGACGGGUGAGUAACACGUGGGUAACCUGCCUGUAAGACUGGGAUAACUCCGGGAAACCGGGGCUAAUACCGGAUGCUUGUUUGAACCGCAUGGUUCAGACAUAAAAGGUGGCUUCGGCUACCACUUACAGAUGGACCCGCGGCGCAUUAGCUAGUUGGUGAGGUAACGGCUCACCAAGGCGACGAUGCGUAGCCGACCUGAGAGGGUGAUCGGCCACACUGGGACUGAGACACGGCCCAGACUCCUACGGGAGGCAGCAGUAGGGAAUCUUCCGCAAUGGACGAAAGUCUGACGGAGCAACGCCGCGUGAGUGAUGAAGGUUUUCGGAUCGUAAAGCUCUGUUGUUAGGGAAGAACAAGUGCCGUUCAAAUAGGGCGGCACCUUGACGGUACCUAACCAGAAAGCCACGGCUAACUACGUGCCAGCAGCCGCGGUAAUACGUAGGUGGCAAGCGUUGUCCGGAAUUAUUGGGCGUAAAGGGCUCGCAGGCGGUUUCUUAAGUCUGAUGUGAAAGCCCCCGGCUCAACCGGGGAGGGUCAUUGGAAACUGGGGAACUUGAGUGCAGAAGAGGAGAGUGGAAUUCCACGUGUAGCGGUGAAAUGCGUAGAGAUGUGGAGGAACACCAGUGGCGAAGGCGACUCUCUGGUCUGUAACUGACGCUGAGGAGCGAAAGCGUGGGGAGCGAACAGGAUUAGAUACCCUGGUAGUCCACGCCGUAAACGAUGAGUGCUAAGUGUUAGGGGGGUUUCCGCCCCUUAGUGCUGCAGCUAACGCAUUAAGCACUCCGCCUGGGGAGUACGGUCGCAAG